ACGAUCUCUGGGCUGAUCCAAGUCAGGCUAAGACUAACUCACAAAUGGAAUAAGAAUUUAGUCUGUAAAGCUAAAACUAGUGAGUAGGAUGAUUUAUUUAAGCUUUAGUUCAUGACAUCUCUUACCUUUUGAGACAUAGCCAGCCAAAUGCAAAGCCUAAUGAUAAGCCAACAAGAUGACGGACACUUGGAGGAACCCGUCUUGGAUGAAGAAUAAUACGACUGGCAACGCCUCAGACAACUUCUGAUGUUUUAAGACUUCUUACAAAACUAUACUGCAUUCUGUGGAUUACUUCUACUUGUUUAUCCGUUGCUUGAAUAAUUUAUUGCAGAAUAAAGCCUUUCUAGGAUUUAUAAUGAUAUUAGCACAACAAGACCUCUGACAAAUAAUAUGCAGGAUAUAUUUAUUAAAGCAUGACGUGUGACA